AUGCAACAGCUGGGGGCCGCCACGCCCAGCACGAGAAGGCGCCUCACGGUGCCGAGGCGGUCUCCCGCGGCGGCGUCGGUGUGGGAGACGCGGAUGGAGAUGGACGAGGUGAAGGGCGGCGUCAAGGUCUUCAGCGAAGGCGCCGACGACGCCGACGAGGAGGGCAUGCGGGUGUACAGCCGCCUGCGACGGAACCAAAGCGACGGCGGCGGCGCGGGCGCGGGCGCCGGGACGGCUGCGGCGGCCAAGAAGCGGAGGAACUGGAAGGCGUCGGAGCCGGUCACGGCGAUCGGGGAGCUGCGCAAGUCGCGCUCCGACGCGGCGGCGACGGGGGCGGUGGCCAAGCGGGCGGUGGCGAGGGUCACCACGCCGGAGAAGAAGCUGGCGGCCGAGGUGAAGGAGGUGGUGGUGGUGGAGGUGGAAAAGGCGCCAUUACCGCAACCCAAGGACAUCGAAGAGGAGGCAGAGGAGGACCAGGAGGAGUGGGAGGAAGAGCUGGAAGCAGAAGAGGAGGAGGAGGAGAAGGAGGUGCUAGAUCAGGAUCAGACGGCCAUUGACGAGGACGAAACUGAUCAGGCGACAGCUCCGAAUCAAGAGGACGAACAAGAUCUUGCGCCACCGACAAAAAGAGCGAUCAGGCCUGUGGCAGCACCGACUGAAGAUGAGAGAGCGGCCAAUCCAGAGCCAGUGAAACUUGCUGCGGCCGUCAAUCUCCGGUCGAUGAACCCAGAGCCCAUGACCCCUCCCGUGAAGAAGAAGCCGACUCCGGUGGUAAUCCACAGAACGGACCCAGAGCCGGCAAGAACUUCUCCAGAGAAGAAAGCUUCGCCGGUAAUCCGCCGACAUUUCCCCAAGCAAGAGCCUGUGGAUAAUCCCCCUGAGGAAGAAGAGUAUGAGGAGAUCCAGGGCAGGCCGUCAGCUCUUAGCACAAGCAAUCGAAGAAUGCAGAACAUUGUGGAUUUGGUAAUGUGGAGAGAUGUGUCAAAGUCUGCAUUUGUGUUUGGAUUCGGGACCUUUUCGCUCAUCUCCUGCUCCUAUGCCAAAGACCUAAACUUCAACACAAUAACAGCAGCUUCGUAUCUAGGCCUGGUCUACCUUGGUCUAAGAUUCCUUUGCAAGUCCUUACUCAACAGAGGUGAGAGUGUGGAGUGUGAUGAUGAGACGAAUAAUGAGAGGUCCCACUACCUGGUUGGUGAGGAGGAUGCCGUCUGGCUGCUGAGGCUUGUGCUGCCCUACGUCAACGAGGUGCUCCUGAACCUCCGGUCCCUCUUCUCCGGCGAGCCAGCGACCACCAUGAAGCUGGCGCUGCUGCUGUUUGCAAUGGCCCGGUGUGGUAACUUUGUCACCCUCUGGACCCUGGCCAAACUGGUGUUCUUUGGCAUCUUCACCAUUCCCAAGGUGUGCUCCUCCUACUCCACGCAGCUCGCCAGAUAUGGCAAGUUUUGGCUGGAGAGGUUCAGGGAUGCAUGGGAGUCUUGCUCCCACAAGAAGGCGGUUGUCGCAGCCGUCUUCACCCUCGUCUGGAAUGUUUCCUCCACGGUGGCUCGUGUCUGGGCUGUGUUCAUGCUGGUGGUGGCGAUGAAGUGCUACCAGCAGCGCAUGAUGGAGUUCGGCUGGAGCAGCUCGGUGGAGGAAGCCGCUGAGAACGAUGAGCCGCAACAGCAGCAGGAGGAGUCUCCCGCUAAACCUGUCCAGACAGAGAAGGCACAUGAUCAAGGGUCACAUGGCUUCGUGGCGCACCGGCGAAUGCCGGUCUCCGGCGAGUUCGCCAGGGAGAGGCUGAGGGCGAGAGGCGGCAUCCAGCCAAGGUGUUAG
rnacentral:rRNA from 1 species